UUUCCGUAGGUGAACCUGCGGAAGGAUCAUUCAUAAUAAGUGUUUAUGGCACUUUUUUAAAUCCAUAUCCACCUUGUGUGCAAUGUCAGGGUUGAUUUUUCUCUCGAGAGGAUCAGCCCCAAACAUCAACUAUAUCUCAACUCUUUGUCUGAAAAAUAUUAUGAAUAAAGCAAUUCAAAAUACAACUUUCAACAACGGAUCUCUUGGCUCUC
rnacentral:misc_RNA from 1 species